AGCGAUCUUUCCCACUCCAGUUCGGACGCGACUCUCCGGUCGACAUAAGCUACGAUUCGGGGAGUCGUCUCGGUGGCUCGUAACGAACCUUGGUGAUGGUUCGGUCCAGUGUUAUCCGCGGCUCCAGCUUCCAACCCUUUCGUGGGUCCCACGCCAUUUUGAGCAACCCUUGAGGUCGUGAGUGGUCCACGUAAGAUGAGAAAGCCACGGGAUCAAACUGUGGUAUGUUGGAGCGACAGAGGCGAUAUGGGCACGACAAAGUUUCUAGUAAAUCGUGGCUUCCCUGAGCGACUAGGUCUACGAGUUGGGACGCUCAACGCGAUUAAGUCGCGAUUUCAGGUCCAACACGGGACACGACCGCUCUUCGUCCCCAGGGCCUCGAGCUGCCGCCCCCUUUCUCGGUCUUCCUCUCCUUGCUCUCUCAGACCUCACUCCUUUUCAUUUCUCCCAGUUUCCUCCGUCUCUCACUGCUUCGCCCGGGCUCUCUUCAUCGUUCGCAGCUCCCUCGCUCCUCUGUCCAUCCGUCGCAUUCCUUCUCCAUCUGUCGCUGCAAGAGGUGGCUAGGGCAUCUUCCUCCCUCCCUCCCCCGGAGUUCCUCACACCGUUUGUUACUCGUACGGAGGGUUUCGUCAGCACCGAUCCUUUCACAUAAUAAGCUCAUGAUUUGAUUCCAGUGGAUUUGAUUGAGGUCUUGACUUGGUUUUGCCUGUGCAUUGGGUUUCAUGUGAUGUGGGCUCCGUUUAUGGCAUAGAUUAAGGUACUACUACUACACAUAUAUGUACAGUGGAUGGGAGACGAGAUGGAACAACGUAUGCCUCCCAAGGAGAACACAAGCAUGCCUGUCAUUGUCGUACAAGAUGGGAACAAAGGCGAGUUAGAUUCUAGCUCAAAAGUGAAUGAUGUAGUUGAACCACCUUCUGCCGGAAUGAUAUUUAAUUGUAUCGACGAAUUGUACGAAUUCUACAAAACAUAUGGCAACCAAGAAGGUUUUCCGGUGUUCAAAAAGUCGACCAAAAAUGAUAAACAAGGGAGAUUGCACUUCGUCACGCUUUCAUGUGGUCGUGGUGGGAAGUCGAGAUGUAAACGAGAAAAGUUGGUGAAUCCGAGCUUGACGAUGAAGAUCGAGUGUAAUGCAAAGCUCAAUGCAAGAGUGUAUGAUGAUGGUGUCGUGCGAGUGACGUCUGUUUUUCUCGAGCAUAACCAUGAACUGAGUCCGACCAGAGCGCGUUAUCUUCCACGCCGGAGGAGUGUUGGUACCAGUAUGAAAAGACGGCGAGAGAAGAUUGAUGAAGCUGGAGUUACGGUGGCAAAGACUCUUACUUCUUCUGCUGAUGAAUGCGGAGGACAUGAAAGUGAACCGUCCUUAGAGAAGGUUUGUCAGAACUAUAUUGACAACAUUGACAAAAGAAGGAAACUGUGUCUUGGUGUUGGAGAUGCUGGGGUGGUUUGCAACUAUUUCAAUAGAAUGCAGGAGCAGAACUCCAAUUUUUAUUAUUCCCUGGAUUUUAAUGAAGAUGGUCACAUCAGAAAUAUUUUCUGGGCAGAUGAGAGGAGUCGAGCGGCCUACAAGUCAUUUACUGAUGUUGUCUCUUUUGAUACUACCUACCUGACAAACAAAUAUGAUCUGCCAUUUGUUACUUUUGUUGGAAUUAAUCAUCAUGGUCAACCUUUGCUCUUUGGUUGUGGGCUCGUAUCGGGUGAGGAUACCGAAACAUUUGUGUGGUUGUUCAUGCAGUGGCUUGCAUGCAUGUCUGGCAAUGCACCAAAGGCUGUAAUUACUGAUCAAGAUAUGGCUAUACAUAAGGCCAUCGAGAUUGUCUUCCCUGAGGCUCAACACAGAUGGUGUUUAUGGCAAAUAAUGAAGAAAAUUCAUGGAAAUUUAAGCUGUCAUUCCAACAAUGAACAAGUGAAAGCCACCUUGAUGCAAGCUGUAUAUGACUCGAUGAGCAAAGAAGAGUUUGAUUUCAACUGGGGCCAGAUGAUUCAGAAGUAUAGUCUUCAAUCUAAUGCAUGGUUGAGUACAUUGUAUGACGACCGUCAUCGUUGGGUUCCAGUUUAUGUGAAAGAUAGUUUUUGGGCAGGAAUGUCGACAACACAGAGAAGUGAAAAUGUGCAUGAAUUCUUUGAAGGACAUGUGAACUCGAAAACCACGCUAAAACAGUUUGUGGAACGAUAUGAUAAAGCACUAAAGACUAAAGUUGAGAAAGAAUUACAAGAAGAUUUGAACUCGUUGAACUGCUAUUGUCCCUGCGUAAGUCACUACAAUAUCGAGAAACAAUUUCAACAAGCAUACACCAAUAAUAAAUUUAAAGAAAUUCAGGAGGAGUUUAAGGGGAAAAUGUUCUGUUAUGUGCAUUCCAUGAAAGAAGAAGAUGACUUUGGUGUGUAUGAGGUUAUAGAAGACAUGGUUGUUGAGAAUGGCUUGAGUAACCAAAAGGUCUGUUUCACUGUUUAUUUCAAGCAGGCAGAAUUUGAUGUGAGAUGCAGUUGUCGUUUAUUUGAGUUUCAAGGAAUUUUAUGUCGCCAUACCAUUACUUUACUCACAGUGAAAGGUGUGUAUUUGGUGCCACAAAAGUACAUUCUUCCAAGGUGGAGGAAGGACUUCAGAAGGGAACACACAAAAGUAAAAGUCAGCUAUAAUAACUGGAAUUCAACUCCUGAGAUGCGGCGGUAUGAUUUGAUAUCCAAAAAGUCUGCCGUGUUUGCAGAUUUUGGAUGCACAUCCGAAGAUAACACACAAAUUGCAUUAGAUUUCAUUGAACAGUUUAGGCAAAAGUUUAACAUUGCUGAUCCACUGAAUGUGAAUGGUCAACCUAUUUUUUCGGUCAGCGGGAGUUGUCAACCUUAUCAAUGAUCUGGUUUUAUGCAUGAUGUCCAGAACAUUCAUAUUAUCAACGAUCAUUUUUUUUUGUAUGGCCUUGUUAGUAUCAUGAAAUGGGACAUAUCAAAGUUUGCUUGUUGAAAGCCACAAACAGGAGGCAAGAAAUGUUAUGUCAAACUUUAUUAGAAGUUUAACUCUUACCAUCAACCUUAAUGUUCAAGAAUGGUGAAGAUGAUGCAAGAGCUUAGGGUUAACAAUUGAUGAAGACAUGCACAUUCACUAUUGUUUAUUUUUCAUGGAGGACUUGAUGUUGAUGGAUGCUAUGAUUAUAGUUGUGGAUUUUGUGAUUGAUUUGUACUUUACCAUUGUAUCCUGUCAUACUGUUUUUGCAGAAAGCAUUUGUAGUUUUUGAAGUUCAUAAAUACUUAAAAUUAUAUUCUGCCAUGCUGUCUUUGCUGUAACCUGCAGGACAGGUAGGUGCAACUCGCAACACACGAUGGUGCAACCUUACAGAAAAGGUAUUUCAGCUCUAGUGCUCAGCUUUUUUUAUGCUAUCAUUCCAAUCUUGAGCAGCUCAUUAUUUAAACAAGAUUAGCUCUGAUUACUUCUUGAAAGCUUUAUGAAAGUCUUGUUCGACAAAAGUAAAAGGCCUAUGGCUAUGUAACCUUAUAUAUUGUAAAUUUAUGGAAUGAUAUACUUCAAAUGUGAUGUGUUAGCAUACAUGUAAAACCAUUAUCCCCUACAAGAUUACGAACCAUGACCUGCAUAGUAAAGGUAACUCUGCUACUAUAACUCUAGUGCCACUAGGACUAGAAGUAGGAGUGUGAAGCUUUGCCACACUCGGGAGCCCACUAGACCAUCCAUCCACAUUUUGGAGGGGUUUCCUUCUCUCCGUCGGCAUAAGUGGUUCACCAUCCUUUACUGCUUUUUCGUCUCCAUCAAUUUUAUUUCAUGUUCAGAUUAGUCCAUUGGUGGUCUUCCACAUAACAAUCUCUUCUGUGGAUUCUUCUAUCACCAUCAUUACUUGUAGAGUGUUACUUUUCAUCUUCAACUUCUUUUUAGGUUCAUGUCACCUCUUUUCUUUUAUAUCCUGUAAGAAUGCACUCUUCCGAUCACUUGUUUCAAUGAACUUCAGCAAAUCUCGACCAUCUGAUUGACUGUGAGAACCUGUGGUGCAAAGCAUACAUGGAAAGCCGAUACAUUGCACACAGUAUACAGUAAUUGUGAUGGCUUAAAUGUCGUUUGACCAGUACAACCAUAGAAUAAGUCACAGUGUGCUGGCUUGAAUGUGAGGUGAGGCAGAGAAUCUGGUCCUCAAUCUCAAGUUUGCCCAUCUCAUGACAUCCAGAGAGAUGUAGCCUCGUUCACCAGGUGCAAAAAAUUCUCAUAAAUCCCAUUUUGUCUUACAUUAAAUAGAGCUGUAUUCUUUCUUAGUUCAGUUUAGUCUGGUUGGAUGAUCUAUUUAUCUGUUUGAUAUUAAUUACAACUCAGAGAAUGCAGACGUUUUUUAGUAACCUGAGUAAUAAAUGAUACCGAGUGAUUCGGUUAGCACUCUGAACUUAACUAUUGUUGUUGUUGCUGUAGUAAUAAAUGAUUCGGUCUGUUGUAAUUAUUCAUUUACUGAUUAUGUUUACGGACUUGAUAUUAUGAAUUCUCUCCUUAAAAUGAUGUGAAAGUAUCCUAUAUCUUGUGCCACAGAACUUGCAAAGUAUUUUGAGAAUAAUGAUGAUGCCAGGAGCUUAACCUUUCUGCUACCACCGCUUAUGGAGGAAGACUUUGCUCAUGAAGAGCUUCACUUAGUUGUAGAUGCCACCCAUCACAUGGAGCACAUGGAGACCGAUGAAAUCACUUCUGGACUGCAAAAGGCAGAUCGCCACCAGAUGCCGAUCUCGACUUAGGGUUCUCCGAAGGAUAUAGAUUUUGACUGUUGAUAACAGGAUUGUGUGAUCAAAUCUUAUAUUCCUCAUAUAUUUUUAUAUAAAAAAUUAGUUUAUUAAUGAAUAUAAUAGGCUUGGAUGCUGAGAUCCUGAUCAAAAUUUUGAACCGGAGGACCCCUUAGUUUCUUUUGAAUUGUGUUAAGAAUACUCCUGAUAAAUGUAUGGGGUGCAAAUUCUCUCAUGUAUUUUGAGAGGUUAAUAACAUUGCUCACUGGUUAGUACAA